rnacentral:rRNA from 1 species
ACGAGAACAAGGGCAAGUCUGGUGCCUUCCAGCUCCAAUAGCGUAUAUUAAAGUUGUUGGAUUUCGGAGGACCGGGGGUCUGUCAGAGAUGCUCCCUCUCGGAGGCCCUGGCUGACCUUAACUGGCAGGAUUCGGGACGUUUACUUUGAAAAAAUUAGAGUGUUCAAAGCAGGCUGGAUACAUUAGCAUGRWRYAAUGGAAUAGGGUUUUGUUGGUUUUCGGGCCGAGKUCAUGGUUAAGAGGGACAGUUGGGGGCAUUCGUAUUAAUUGUCAGAGGUGAAUUCUUGGAUUUAUGGAAGACGAACAACUGCGAAAGCAUUUGCCAAGGAUGUUUCAUUAAUCAAGAACGAAAGUUUUCGAAGACGAUCAGAUACCGUCGUAGUCCCAACCAUAAACUAUGCCGGCUAGGGAUCGGCGGACGCCUCCGUCGGCACCUUGAGAGAAAUCAGAGCCUUUGGGUUCCGGAGUAUGGUCGCAAGGCUGAAACUUAAAGAAUUGACGGAAGGGCCAGGAGUGGAGCUUAUUUGACUCAACACGGGGCAACUCAGUCCGGACAUGGGAAGGAUUGACAGAUCGAGAGCUCUUUCUUGAUUCUAUGGGUGGUGGUGGGCCGUUCUUAGUGGUGGGGUGACUUUCUGGUUAAUUCCGUUAACGAACGAGACCUUAACCUGCUAACUAGCCGCCCGAACGGCUUCUUAGAGGGACAGUUGGCCAGAGAGGCAAUAACAGGUCUGUGAUGCCCUUAGAUGUCCUGGGCCGCACGCGCGCUACACUGACGGAGCCAGCGAGCCUUCGCCGAAAGGUGCGGGUAAUCUUGGAGCCUCCGUCGUGCUGGGGAUAGAUGGUUGCAAUUAUUGAUCUUGAACGAGGAAUUCCUAGUAAGCGCGAGUCACCAGCUCGCGUUGAUUACGUCCCUGCCCUUGUACACACCGCCCGUCGCUACUACCGAUUGGAUGGUUUAGUGAAAACUUCGGAUCGAGAAGUUGUUUAAAUUUCUAGA